CGAGCAAAUUGAAAUUUUUUGAAGUUUGACUCGGCAUGUACAAAUAGGAGCAUCCGUUGUUGUUGAACAUGUUGGAUAUCAUAUGCUGUUCCGGGUCCAAUGAAGACGAAAUAUGGACACAAAAUCGGUUAAAGACAUUUAGCUGAAUGGAUGCGUUAUUUCUUCUUACCUACACAGUGGACUAAAGACAGACGUACCCCAUGAGCCACUUUCAGUUCUGCUUUCCAAAUACUUAGCUAAAAAACUAAAUGCAGUUUAGCUAUGUGUGGAGUCCAGCAAUAAUGUCGCCAUUACCAGCAAAUCUAAUCAGUGUUCUACUCAGCCAGCAACCAGGAAAUACGAACAUUCGGUUAUAAACCAGUUAUUUUACAUGGGUUUUUGAGGAGAUAUGAACAUAUAAUCCAGUUAUAAACCAGUUAUUCUUCAUGGAUUUUUGUGGAGUUUAUGAACAUUCAUUUAUAAACCACUGAUUGUGUUUAAGUAGAUACAAAUAUUCAAUUGUAAACUGGCGAUAGUACAUGUAUGGAUGUGCUAGGAAAUCAUUUACUUUGACAUUCGGAGAAGAGUGACUAUAUGAAUAGUGCAGUUCAGUACACUAUUAAAGAAUGAAAGUAUAUACAUGUGUCAGUAAUAUAUUUUUUUAUAUGAGAAGUUGUACCACUGGAGUAGAAAACACAAACAGUAACAGUUGACAUUUUUAUUAAAAAAUCAAACGGCAUAAACCAGAAAAUUAAAAACUUUAAGAUGAACGGAGUAGAAAAAAACAGUAACACUUGGCAGGAAAUUUUUAUUUAAAAAAUCAGAACGGUGUAAACAGAAAGUUUAAAACUUUAACAAAGUGGCUUUUUUAUGUGAAAGUGGCACAGCAAGACGUUUUACAGUGUAAAGUCCAAGAAAUUGACAGUCAAGUACAGAUAUCAACUGAGUGGUGAGUAACACAUAUUUUCUAUACAGAAAUUGCAGUUAUCAGUAAUUAUUAAAGCUAGUGUUGGCAUUUCAACACAUUACUUAUUACAUAAGUU
rnacentral:lncRNA from 1 species